UCAAUAAGCGGAGGAAAAGAAACUAACAAGGAUUCCCCUAGUAGCGGCGAGCGAAGCGGGAAAAGCUCAAAUUUGUAAUCUGGCGUCUUCGACGUCCGAGUUGUAAUCUCGAGAAGUGUUUUCCGUGAUAGACCGCAUACAAGUCUCUUGGAACAGAGCGUCAUAGUGGUGAGAACCCAGUACACGAUGCGGAUGCCUAUUACUUUGUGAUACACUUUCGAAGAGUCGAGUUGUUUGGGAAUGCAGCUCAAAUUGGGUGGUAAAUUCCAUCUAAAGCUAAAUAUUGGCGAGAGACCGAUAGCGAACAAGUACCGUGAGGGAAAGAUGAAAAGCACUUUGGAAAGAGAGUUAACAGUACGUGAAAUUGUUGGAAGGGAAACACAUGCAGUGAUACUUGCUAUUCGGGGCAACUCGAUUGGCAGGCCCGCAUCAGUUUUCCGGGGCGGAAAAGCAUAGAGAGAAGGUAGCAGUUUCGGCUGUGUUAUAGCUC
rnacentral:rRNA from 1 species